ACUUUUUGAGUGCUGACUUGACGUUCAAAAGAAAUGCUUAGUGGAUCAUUUUGGAUUUUCAGAUGUGGGAUGCUCAGCUGAGGAAAAGACAAGCAUAUGAAUCUAACCUUAUCUGUCAUGGCCUGCAGUUAGAAGCAACAAGAUCAGUAAGUACUGGUCCCUUUUCAGCCCUUGGCUGACCACUGUUCUUGGGCAGCUUCGUGCCACUUGGAAUACUUGGGUGACAUUGGAAACACGCAGCCCUGGCCACAUCUUAGUCAUAGACUGGGAGAGGAGUCAAUCAAAAUCUGCAUUGUGUAGAAUGUAUUCUUUUUUUCUGAUCAAAACUAGCAGAUCUUUUUUAAUAGCCAAUGAAUUUUACAAUGAAUGCAUGUAUGAAUGAUUAUUUUCUUCCUUUAAGAAACUUCUAAAAGCUUUUUUGUUAUACAAAAAAUAGUUUAUGGUAAAAAAUUAGAAAACGUAAGAAUAAGGAAAAUAAUCUGUAUCUUAAUUAUCCAUAAAUAAUUUUGCAGUCCUUCUGAGUUGUUUUCCUCAAAAAUAUAUAUGUGCACAUUUUUUAUCUUUCAA
rnacentral:sRNA from 1 species